GGCUGUCAGCGGCGGCGCAGGGCUGCGGGCGAGGGGCGGAGCAGAGAGACCCUGUGUCUGCUAUGGCCGCCUCCCCUUCCCCGCAGCCUCCCUUAAAUACUAUGGGGCGAGCGUAGUUGUGGUGGGUGUUGCUGCUUAGCGCACCAUGCGGGCUGUCAUCGCCUUGGCCGCGGCGUUGGGCAGCUUGCUGCUCGGCGGCUGCCUUCUGCGUCUGGGUGGACAGCAGCCCCUCCGCGCCAGGGGCUGGGAGCAGGACGCGGGGGUAGCUGCUGUCACGCCGAAAGUGGUGCGAGCCCUCAGGCCGCCCCUAACGCCCCUUCCGCGGACCGAGAACAGAACAGCUGUUAAUAAAAAUGGAAUUUACCAGUUUGAACAGGCUUCAAAAUGUAAGGCAAUUCAGGACAACAUUUUGUCAUCAUCUACCAAGAAGAAAAGAUAUACAGAAGACUAUUAUCUUCACAUCGUCACAAAACUGCAGAACUGCACCUGGAUAAGGAGACCAGAAGAAUCUAUGAAAUUCAGGUCAGAAUUAGCUUCCUGCUGUGAUGCAGUUCACAAUUUUAUUGCUUCUCAAAACAACAGCCCUCUGGGAAGUAACAUGAGUUAUGAAGUGGACAGUAAAAAGACCAUCCUCAUUACAGAGGACAUUUUUAAGAUGCUGCCUGUGUCCUCUCCUCUUUCGGUCUAUCCCUUCAAGACCUGUGCUGUGGUUGGAAACGGGGGCAUUCUGAAAAAUUCCAGCUGUGGAGCUGAAAUAGAUCGUUCUGACUUUGUGUUUAGGUGUAACCUCCCUCCAACCAUGGGAAGCAUUAGCAAAGAUGUUGGCAAUAAAACAAACCUUGUGACUGUUAAUCCGAGUAUCAUAGCUCAGAAAUACAACAAGCUAAAUGAAAAGAAGGCUGAAUUUCUGGAGAACAUUGCGGUCUAUGGAGAUGCUUUGCUUUUAUUGCCAGCGUUUUCCUUCAGAAGCAACACAGCCACUUCUUUUAAAGUGUAUCACACUCUGCAAGAGUUCAAAGCAACCCAAAGGGCAAUAUUUUUUCACCCCAGUUACCUGAAAAGCCUCGCCCAGUUCUGGAGAACUAAGGGUGUGAAAGCCUACCGGUUGUCAUCUGGUUUUAUGAUCACUAGUGCUGCUCUUGAGCUCUGUGAGAAUGUGAAGCUCUAUGGUUUCUGGCCUUUCUCAAAAUCCAUGGAGAAGAUGCCAAUCAGCCACCACUAUUAUGACAACCAGCUGCCUAAACCAGGUUUCCAUGCAAUGCCCAAAGAGUACAACCAGAUUCUUCAGCUUCAUGGCAAAGGCAUUUUGAAGUUGCAGUUUGGUAAAUGUGAAUCAGACUAAAAAGGUAAAGAUAAGUUUAGAGCGGUGUGCUCUCACAGCCUCGGAUGCAGCACAGCUUGUGGACAGCAGUGAGGAAGCUGCCGUACACUACAGCAGAUCUUGCUGAGGAUUUUACCUUGAGGUAGCUCAGAAUCUGGAAGUUAGAAAUAUAGGAAGAAAUGUCAUUCCCUUUCUUCUGUUCUUUCUAACUGUCCCAUCCCCCUUGCAUCUCUGUGUAUUGCCUUAGAGAAGGGCAGCCCAUAGUCUGGACUCUGGCCUUAAACCAGUUUACUGUGUACAGAUUAUAGAUUACUUUGAAAAUAUUUGUCUGCAUGUUUUCAAUCUUGAUUUGCCCAGUUCACAAAAUAAGAUCAAUUUGUAUAAAUACUUCCAUCUUUUAAGCUAACUCAAAUUUCAGCUCACGAUACUGUUGUCAGAUGUGCCUUUUACAGACCUGUAUUUUUCCAGGGGAUUCAAAUUAGUGUAACAGUAGGUGUAAUGUGUGGUAGAACUAGCAUUGUACACAAUAUGCUUUAACUGGACUGAUGUAAUCUCACAACUCUAUUACUCAAAUAAAUAAAAAUAGCAUCAACUUGUUCAAGGUAGAAAUUUAAAGUUCAAAAGCUUUUCUUCUGGCUAUGUGAAAUUUGUUUGAAAAUCUCCUUUGAUGGUAUUUACAAAACGUGUUACCAAAGAUACAUUCGCACUUGGUUCAUCGUCAGAGACUGCUAAGUUUUAAAUUAGCAGAUUGCUAGUACCAAGGAGGCACAAUUUUAUUCAGACACAGUUUUAUUUGAAGAAUAAACUACUUCCGUACAUUAUUAGAAUGAUACCAAACAUGUAAGAAGGGACCUUAGAAGCAAUCUAGUGAAUCUGCUGUCCUAGUCCAUGACAGGAGUUUACCUAGGAGGAGGGGUAUGUGUAUGCCGUUUCACAUGGCUAAGGUAUGCUUUUUUACUUGUGAAGAGUUGCAGCAUACUGGAAAGGUUAAGAAAUACAUAAUGCAUUUUUUCCUAGUAGCUAAGCUGUUUAUACCCUCCAGUUUCCAUUGUAUUUAUUCUCCCUGUAAUAUAAAUGGCUGGUGACAUACCAUGCAAUUUUAAUUGUAGUAACUACACCAGCUAAGAAAAUGAAAGGCAGCUCCUUAGGAAUAUUUAAUUUAGGGAGAAGCAGAUAGAAGCCACAAAAAUAUUUAAGCAUCUGUAUGGGUUAAUUAAACAUUGUCCAUGCUUGACAGACUGAAAAUCACUUCUGUUGCCAAAUUUGCAAAAGAAAAAAAACACCAGAAGGGUAAGAUGUGCUGCCCUAAUUUACAUUUAUACGAAGAAAAGUGAGUCCUUUCAAACUAAAGGAAUUAAAUGCUUUCAGUAUGAGCUACCAUUCUGCUAUUAUCAGCUAUUAGAGAUAAUUGAAAUUCUAUAAUGAGUAUAUUUUACUGAAGAUGACCGUUUCUAAAAAUUGAACAAUCUCCUUGCUCUUUUCAGUUUCCCUUUUAUGUUCUUCUCUCUGCUUUGUGCUCUUCCCUGUUAGUGGGUAGCUGAAGAAGAUUCCUUACACCACUGGGUGCCCACAGAAGUCUCAGGCAGACCCAUUAGUGGAACAUGAAAGUUUGGUGCUAUAAAUAAAAAGUGAAGGAAGCUGCUUUGCUGCAUGCACCUAUAUUGUAAGUGGGUAGCAGGUUCUGGAGCAUCACGGGGAGAGCGUAACUGCAUCCCAGUGAAUCGUUUUGGUAGUAUUGCUCCUAAGCACCAUCUUUGCCAUCGUAAAGGUGAACUUUUGGAGUUCAUGAGAGUCCAGUAGAGAUGGUGCUGAACAACAUGAGAACUCCAUUUGUGUUCAUAUCAGCUCCUGCCCCUCUACAGUUACGCUCAACAGACAUGUCCGUAUCUCCUCCUCUAAAGUAAAUGCAUAUCUAUCACAGAUGGUAAAAUGGAAAGUGAGACAUCAGCAGAAUCUUAAAAUGUAAUUAAAAUAAUGAUCUUUAUUAUUUUUUAUUACAUUACCAAAUCAGUUUUGCUAUGGCCCUGCAGCUGAAGGAAGUCUUGUUUGAGCAUUGGUUUAACCUGAUAAGCCUGAAGGGCAUGUCAUUACCUUCAAAUAAACAUACGUUCAAGGAGGGGAAAUGGGGCCUGAUUCAUAUUUAAAAAUAGACAGAAAAAUCUGAUUACACAAAUUGUCAGAUGAUAAAUUAAUCCAACUGGCAAAAAUGUGAUUGCCCAGAAGCCUGGUUAAAAUGCAGGUUUUGUCUGACCAAGAAUGCAUCAAGUUUUCUGUUUGCUACAAAGAGACAGCAGGGAAGAUGAGUAUGUGUUGCUUUGACAUCCAGCACAGUAACAUUAAGCAGCUGCUCAAAGGAGUCAGUCAACAGAGAAAAAAAAAACAAACGUGGAAAGGAAG